AUUUUGUUGUUGCUAAUUGUUGAUAUUUUUAAGGCUGUGAUCAAGUGAUAAUUGGAAGUUGAUUCAUUUUAAGGAGACAAGUAAAGAAACAUAACAGUCUAAGCUAGACUGGAUUUAGGGAUUUGUCAUCACUCAAGUAAAUCCACUUUUGCCUGAAUUCCUUCCGCUGAGAUUGAAGUGUCAUCUACAUCUGCCUACGAGAAACCUGCGAAGAAAAUGAGGACGCCUAGAUGGUUGUACUGAAUAAUCCUAAAAAUGAGCUUCACACCUGGUCCAGAAAUGAGGUCACCAUCCCCACUAUAUCUCAACGGAGGAUAAGAAACUACCUCGGAUCGUAUUUACAUAUUCAUAUCGCAGUCAGAUGUUUACCAGAGUUGAAACCGAGCCAUCUCCACUUUUGUAAGAUAACUCUCCCAAUACUUCAUGAUUACUGUGAAUAAAAUAUAUCUCCAGCCUAUUGUUUCUUCACUGGUGGACCAGUAGAAGGAAGGCAUGCCAGACAAGGUGCUUAUACAUCGGAAAGGAUACACAUUCAAGUACUGACUUGCAGUUGCCAAAUAAUGACAAAAGCCACAGUUGGAGAAGAAUGAAACGGUGGAUUGCUGACAUGGAAAACAAACAGAAAAGAAAGGAAGACACAGGGACACCCAGUAAAAAGAAGUCUUAAAAGAACCUAAAACUCUCCAUGCUGCUCUUCAUCAAAAACUUCGGAAGCAGAUUUCAACUUUUGUGUCUUGCAUCAGGGAAGAAA